rnacentral:rRNA from 1 species
UACGUAGGCAGCAAGCGUUGUUCGGAAUUACUGGGCGUAAAGAGUGUGUAGGCGGUGUUCCCAGUCUGUUGUGAAAUCUCCCGGCUUAACUGGGAGGGUGCAGCGGAAACUAGAAUGCUAGAGGGUGGGAGAGGUAAGCGGAAUUCCUGGUGUAGCGGUGAAAUGCGUAGAUAUCAGGAGGAACACCUGUGGUGUAGACAGCUUACUGGACCACUUCUGACGCUGAGACACGAAAGCGUGGGUAGCAAACAGG